rnacentral:rRNA from 1 species
GAUGAACGCUGGCGGCGUGCUUAACACAUGCAAGUCGAACGAAGCACUUUAUUUGAUUUCCUUCGGGACUGAUUAUUUUGUGACUGAGUGGCGGACGGGUGAGUAACGCGUGGGUAACCUGCCUUGUACAGGGGGAUAACAGUUGGAAACGGCUGCUAAUACCGCAUAAGCGCACAGCAUCGCAUGAUGCAGUGUGAAAAACUCCGGUGGUAUAAGAUGGACCCGCGUUGGAUUAGCUAGUUGGUGAGGUAACGGCCCACCAAGGCGAGGAUCCAUAGCCGACCUGAGAGGGUGACCGGCCACAUUGGGACUGAGACACGGCCCAAACUCCUACGGGAGGCAGCAGUGGGGAAUAUUGCACAAUGGGCGAAAGCCUGAUGCAGCGACGCCGCGUGAGCGAAGAAGUAUUUCGGUAUGUAAAGCUCUAUCAGCAGGGAAGAUAAUGACGGUACCUGACUAAGAAGCACCGGCUAAAUACGUG